rnacentral:rRNA from 1 species
AAGUAUUAAUCAAACUAUUGCUUUAUGACGGCAUUUUAAAUAAUUAGAGAAACUUACUUUUUAAUCGACAAUAACCGUUAAUCUCUUUCUUUAACAGUUGAUAUACCGCUGUAACAGAUAAUUUUCCAUAAAAAAAAUCAAAAUAUAAUUAUAUAAAAAAUCAAGUCAAGGUGUCACCAAUAAUAAAGCUAAAGCGAGUUACAAUAAAAAUAAUUUAAGGAAAUAGUAUUUAAAAAUAUUUUCAAAAGAGAAUCUAUAAGUACAAUUUUAUUAAGAUAUAAAUUUGAAUCACCUUUUAAUGUGU